GGGGACGUUACGGAUUCGACAGGGACGGAUCGAGCUUGAGUUGCGAGCCGAGAGGCGAUCUCGUAAAAACGCACCUAAAUAUAACUGGCAAAUCUAACCAGAACUUAGCACUAGCUGCCUAAUUAGCGCAGCGAGCUCUUGCCCGCAUCGCCUAUGUGCCGGUUAAGAGCCCAUAACGAAGUAGGCUACGCUUGCGCUCCCGUCUGAGAGCGCAGGAAGAGACUUAUCAGACUAGCUUUCCGAGG
rnacentral:tmRNA from 1 species